ACCAUGUGACCUCAUCAGCAUACAUCAUGUGUGGAGCUUAUAGACCCUGUUCUCGUGGAGCUGGGGAACAGAGGGGUACCCGCUCACACACAGUCUAGCACACAGUCUAGCACACAGACCACAGAGAGGAACGGGACCGAAGAUCAGCUCAGCCAUUAAGAUGCCUUCCUGUAUUUGGCUACCAAUUCUGCUGAUCUGUGAAGUGCACAUGCGUACUGCUCUGGGCCAAACAGCAACAGCAUCAACAGCUGUAACCACAACUGCAAUGCCCUUGACAAUCACAACUGCACCCGCUGUUACAGCCAACCCUGCAACUUCCGCGACAACAACACCUCCAUCCACUGCUACACCCAAUCCUGCAGCUUCCAUGACAACAACUACGUCUACGUUACCCCUCAGUAAUCCGGCAGCGAAUACUCAGUCUGCUACCCCUGCUAAUUCCCCCUGGAGCAACACUACAAUGAGUAACAGCACCGCAUGGACCCAGAACACCACGUCUGCAGCCGGACUCAUCAACGCCUCACUUAACACUGCAACAGGUGUGUCGGUGUGCACGGUGCUGUUCUGGCUGCAUUGGCCCUGCUGAUGAAACUGAGCAUCAGGAAGCAUGAAGAGAAGAGCCAAUCAGAGGACAGGAGCUGGACUAUGAUUGGUUGUUGAGAGAGAUACACAUCUUGCUGUCCUAUUCAGUGAACACAACACACAAAUUCAACAUGCCUUUUCUCCAGCCUCUUAAGCCAGCCCUUAAUAACAAUGGUAUGAUAAGUAAUAUGAUAACACAUAUACUAAUGAUAACGGUGUGAUUUGAUGCUGUUAAUAAAGUUUAUUCCCUCCCGUGCCAUUUGAAUCUAA